rnacentral:rRNA from 1 species
GACGGAGGAUGCAAGCGUUAUCCGGAAUGAUUGGGCGUAAAGCGUCCGCAGGUGGCAGUUCAAGUCUGCUGUCAAAGACCGGGGCUUAACUUCGGAAAGGCAGUGGAAACUGAACAGCUAGAGUAUGGUAGGGGCAGAGGGAAUUCCUGGUGUAGCGGUGAAAUGCGUAGAGAUCAGGAAGAACACCGGUGGCGAAGGCGGAUCUCUGGGCCAUUACUGACGCUGAGGAGCGAAAGCGUGGGGAGCGAACAGG